rnacentral:rRNA from 1 species
GACGAACGCUGGCGGCGUGCUUAACACAUGCAAGUCGAACGGAAAGGCCCUGCUUUUGUGGGGUGCUCGAGUGGCGAACGGGUGAGUAACACGUGAGUAACCUGCCCUUGACUUUGGGAUAACUUCAGGAAACUGGGGCUAAUACCGGAUAGGAGCUCCUGCUGCAGGGUGGGGGUUGGAAAGUUUCGGCGGUUGGGGAUGGACUCGCGGCUUAUCAGCUUGUUGGUGGGGUAGUGGCUUACCAAGGCUUCGACGGGUAGCCGGCCUGAGAGGGUGACCGGCCACAUUGGGACUGAGAUACGGCCCAGACUCCUACGGGAGGCAGCAGUGGGGAAUAUUGCACAAUGGGCGGAAGCCUGAUGCAGCAACGCCGCGUGCGGGAUGACGGCCUUCGGGCUGUAAACCGCUUUCGCCUGUGACGAAGCGUGAGUGACGGUAAUGGGUAAAGAAGCACCGGCUAACUACGUG